GGACUACCGGGGUAUCUAAUCCUGUUUGCUACCCACGCUUUCGUGUCUCAGCGUCAGUCAUGGUCCAGAAAGCCGUCUACACCACAGGUGUUCCUCCUGAUAUCUACGCAUUUCACCGCUACACCAGGAAUUCCGCUUUCCUCUCCCAUACUCAAGCCUUCCAGUCUUCGGCGCACCCUCCCGGUUAAGCCGGGAGAUUUCACACCAAACUUAGAGGACCGCCUACACACUCUUUACGCCCAGUAACUCCGAACAACGCUUGCUGCCUACGUAUUACCGCGGCUGCUGGCAC
rnacentral:rRNA from 1 species